rnacentral:lncRNA from 1 species
GGAACUAGAAAAUCAAGAAACCAAAUUCCAUGGAAUUCAAAACCUAUCAAACAAACAAAAUUGAAAGAAAGUGGAAUUAGAAUUCCAUUUUCCAUGGAAUUUGAACCAAUCAAACAUAGCCUUAUUUCAAUUCGCAACAAGCCAUGAAUUAAUAACAAUAAUGGAGGCUUGGAUUCUCAUUAUAAUCCAUUAGAUGACUGAAAAGAUAUAAGUCAUUACAAAUUACAAAUUGUACUUUUAAUAAUAUAUUUUAUUGGAUUUGUUGAGUAAAUCCCACCUACAAUUGAACAAAUCAUUCAAUUCAACCAAUUAGCUUAUGGAAUUUGAGAAAAAAUGGAAGAAAAUCAAAACCAAAAACAAGAAUUAUAGAAUGAUAUUUUCCCCUUUUUAUUCCACUCAGAAAUCAUUGAUCCAACACCACAAAGGCAACACCAAGUGGAGAUACCAGUCAUAGAGACAGAGGCACACACACCAAGGCAAGUAACUAGAAGGCAGAAUACACAAAAUAAGCAGAAGACGGUUUCAGUUCACUAAGAAAAGGAA